UAGCGCGGUGGUCCCACCUGACCCCAUGCCGAACUCAGAAGUGAAACGCCGUAGCGCCGAUGGUAGUGUGGGGACUCCCCAUGCGAGAGUAGGG
rnacentral:rRNA from 1 species